rnacentral:lncRNA from 1 species
GAGCUUGAUGGGACUUGACAUAAAAGCUGCUCACAACGACAUUUUGAGUUUACUGAGCAGAAACUGAGAUCCACUUGCAAAAUUACUUUAAGGGCUGAAUUGGAUGGGCCUCAUACUCCACUUUCAGAAAAUCCUUUCAUAAAUGAUUAACUAAUGACACAAAAUGAAAAUGUUGCCAGUUGGCUGUUGACCACAUGGUGCAAAUUGCCUCUCCAGCUUGCAGGUCACCAGUGUCUCCAUUAACAUUUGGGACAUGGAUAUCCUAAGUUUGACCUUGGAACAUUUGAGGAAAUAGCCUGAUUUUUAAACGAUAUUUUUUAUUGAGGUAUAAUCUAUAUAGAGAGAAAUGCUCAGCUCUAACCUACAGAGUUUGAUGAAUUUUGACAAAUUUACACGAGUGUAACCACCAUCCCAAUCAAGACAAAACAUUUCCAUCACCUAAAAAGUUCCCUUUUGCCCUUUUUCAGUCAAUCCCAACUGUUCUGACUUCGAUCAUCAUAGAUUGUUUUUGACUUUUCUAGAGUGUCUGUUAUGGACUGAAUGUUUGUAUCCCUUCGAAAUUCAUAUAUUGAAACCUUAACCCUCCAGUGUAAUGGUGUUAGGAGGUAGGGCCUUUGGGAGGUGAUUAGGCCAUGAGGGUGGAGCCCUCAUGAAUGGGGUUAGUGUUCUUGUAAGAGGGAUCCCAGAGAGAGCCCUUACCCCUUCUGCCAAGUGAGGCCACAGUGAGAAGAUGGCCAUUUAUGAACCAGGAAGCGGGACCUCAACAGACACUGAAUCUGCUGUCUCCUUGAUCUUGGACUUCCCAGCCUCCAGAAAUAUAAGAACAAAAUUCCUGUUGUUUAUAAAUCCUCCAGUCUAUGGUAUUCUGUUAGAGUAGCCCAAACUAGGACCGUGUCAUAUAAAUGGAGUCAUACAGGAUAUAGCCUUUUGUGUCUGGUUUCCUUCACUGAGCAUAAUAUUUGUGAGAUUCAUCCAUGUUGUUGUGUAUAUGGGUGGUCCCUUCCUUUCUAUUGCUGAAGAGUUUUCCAUUGUAUGUAUAUUCCACAGUUUGUUUAUCCAUUCAUCUGUUGAGGGACAUUUGGGCUUUUCCAGUUUGUAGCAGUUAAGGAUAAAGCUGCUUUGAACGUUUAUGUACCAGUCUUUGUGUGAGGUAGGUAGAAACUACAUAUGUCUAGGGUAAAAACACCUAGGAGUAGAAUUCCUGGGUCGUAAGAUAGGUGUAUGUCUAACUUUAUAAGAAACUUGUGGCUUGUUUUUUGUGUCACCUUCCUGAAAGGAUGUUCAGAAGUCAGCGUGCAAAACCCACACCAAAACAACCUCCACAGGGAGAAGGUGGUAACAGAGGGUUGACAGCUUUUAUUGCAAAAAACUGUUUUAACCAAUUCCUGAAUUAACCAACUCCUGAGUCGUUUUUAUAAUUGGUGCUAACUUUGGUCUGUACCCAAGAAAAUGCUCAUUCACAUUAGUAACGGAAGCAGACUAAGCGGGGCAACAAUACUGAAAAGCGCAGAAGGUUAUUUACGCCAAAAGGUUGACCACACCUUUCGGAAUUUUGCCUUAAGCUCAAGCAAUUACAGUUUAGCAGGGUGUUUAUUGAGAAAGUAAACUGUGGAAAGGUCACCCUUGGAAAAGCUAAUCUGAGUCCCGAAUUUUCACUGCUGUAGACUCUGUGUUAUCUGGGAAAGAUAAACAGGCUAUUCUGUGACUCUAGGGCCUGGCUGUCUGGGCCUUCACCCUCUGUUAGAUGUAUCAUCAAGCCGUAUUGCACAAGAAAGCAGCAUGAGAAAGCUUUUGUGUGUGGCAGACUAAACAGGGGCAAGGGGUCUGACCCUGGCUGGACCUGUGGGGAACUGGAGCAAAGGGGUCUGACCACAGUUAUGUGGAGGACCCCAGAACCCCUUGGAAGUGCUGCUUCCCUUGGCAAGACCUCAGAGGAAACGGCUACCGGGUGGCUGGUGAGGCCAGGAACUAGGAAUUAUGGCCUAGAAAGCUCAUGCGAGAGGCUGGACUGGCACAGCCUCCCCACCUGGAAAGUGGGGCCAUCAGAAGUGGAAGCUAGAGCGGGGGCCUGCCGCCGUGGAACAGGAGCAUCGGCAGGCUGCUGGCACGUCUCGGGGGACCAAAACCACUGACGCUGCAUUUCCUGGCAGUGUUAGUUGUCCUCUCUCGUAGGAUGAAUCGUUGUCACCAUUCCUCAGACUCUUCCUGUCUUAGAAUUUUACACUCACACCCUUUGCCAUGUGACUCUGCAGCCUCCCCAUUAGCGUGAGUGGAGGAGACCUCCUGCCACUGGUGCUGGCAUGGCCAUGUGGCUUGUUUAGUCAGUGGGGUGUGGGCAGGAGUGAAUCAAGAGGCCUCAGGAGGCAUCGUGUGUCUCUGCCUAACUUUCUGUGGUUUGUUAUGCAGGAUUAUCAUAGCAUUUGCUCACUGACAUUUACACUAAUAAUGUUUCCUCCUGUUUCAUAAUAAUUCAAAUAGCAAUUUUUAACUGGCUGUUUUUAAUAAGACUGACUUUCCCAGCCUUCCUUGCAGCUAGGUGUGACCAUGUAACUAUUCUGGUCAAUGAGAGGUUAGUAGAAAUGUUGUGUGGCAGCAUUUCUGAGACCUUUCUUAAAGGCCUGUGGCACACAAUGUUCACCCCUUCCUGCAUCCUGCUAUCUGGAACAAAGAUAUGAUGGCUGGAGCUCUGGCUGACAUUUGGAUCCUGAGAAAGAAGGCCAUGUGCUAGGGAAGAUGGAGCAGUGAGCUGCCGGGGCUCUUCUAUGAGAGACAAAUAAACUGUGUUCUUUAAGCCUCUUGAUCUUUAAAAUUCCCCUGCUGAGCUUACUCCAGACACAGUUCUCAAGCCAAUUUUUAUAAAUCUGAUAAAUAACUGUGAUUUUACUUAGAAGUAGACUAGUGUGCAGCAAUGAUCCACUGUUACUACUAAUCGACUGUUUGGUACUAAUCCAAAUGGGAACAGCGCUUAACAGUUUAAAAAUAAAUCUCUCAGGAGGGAGAAUGGGGAGCGACUGGUAACAGGUACGGGUUCUGUUGGGGGCAAUAAAAAUGUCCUAAUAUGAGAUAGUGGUGGAGGUCGGACAACUCUGUGAGUAUAUGGAAAACAAUAGCAGGGUGUACUUUUAGAGGGUGAAUUUUACGGUAUGUGAAUUGUAUCUCGAUGAACUGUUAAAAAACUGAUCACCUGUUCAUUGUUUACACCGUUGUGAGGCGGGUGCAGUGUUUUCCCCUGCACCACAGCACAGGAAACUGAGGCUCAGGGAGCUUACGCGGCCCUCCCAGUUCACUCACCUUGUGAGUGUCAGAGACGAGAGGGGAACUCGGGUCUCCUGACACCAGUGCCUGUGCUUCCUCCACUCUCUCCAGCGUGUUUGCACCUCCGCCUCGGGGCCGCAGGAACCUGGACUCAGGGACUAUUUAGACAACACUGAGUUGGAGGAGAAGACUACCAACUGCUCUGGAUUGAUGACACCGUUUGGGCGUAAAAUGGGCAGAAGGAGGAUGGUAGGAAGAAAAGCAGGAGAGAUGUUGCUGCCUCUUCUCAGAGGUAACACGAGCUGCCUAAACCUCUGCUGAGGAGAUAGAAGGCAAGCAUCCUGGGAGAGGAACCCCUUGGGAGAGUUUGAAGGAGACUGAGUGUCAAGGAAACCCGCAAACUACAGCAGAAAGAAUGGAUUGUGGCUAGCUGGACACUGGGCCCUCCGCUGGCACUGUGGUCACUGCUGGCCCCAGUGCCACCAAUGCCACAGGACACUGGAUGCCAUAGCCACCAACUCCACCAGAAGGAGUUCCGAUUAUGUUGUUCAGUCUGGAUUUAGAAGUCUCAGCUAGGAAUAGUGGCAGAAGUAAUUGAGAAGCAAGAAGUAUGAGGAUGGACGGGGAGGGAGCAAACCACUUACCCGGUCAUGGACGAUUUGCCAGGAGCUGGGCCUUUAAUCAUCAGUUUUCUAUUAAUUCCUGGAACCAGACCCUCCCUGGCACAAUGGUGAGGGAGACAAGGUUGAUUUUAUGCUCAAAAAUAUUGGGACUGGAAGGGACCUUAGAAUCAUCUAGUCCAAUUGUUUUCAAGUGUUUUGAAAGCAGUGAAAUCCAUGCUUUAAAGGAAAUCUUCGCAAAAGCCCAAAUUCUAAAAGGAAAUCAAACAGGAGGCGCUCUGGUUAAAGUGAGGUUGGGGGCCCAGAGUAGUUUGAGAAUCACUGAGUCCAAACCCUGUGACACAGGUGAGGGAACUGAGGUGUAAACAUGACGCUGACUUGUCCAAGGUCACAUAGCUGUUUAGUGGCAGAGCCAGCUCCCCAGUCCAACCCAGCCCCAGUGCAGCAGCCUCUCUGGGAGAGCAGGCUCCUUGGUUCCUUCCAGCUCAGCACCCCCUGCUCUUGGGACUCCUCCUCCAGCCUCACGCAGGUAAAACAGAGUGAGGUGUUUCCCUCAAAAUCCUAGAAGACGUUGGAACACAAGCAGUACAUCUCUGAGAUGGCCCGCCCUCCCGCCCUCCCCAGAGUGAAACAGGGCAGGGAGAAAUAUCCCCUCCCACUGCAGGCAGCUAAGCCUCAUUGGCACCCUGUCAGCUCCGCUUCAGCAGGACGUGGUGGAAUUAGUAUAGGUGGGGUGGCCUGAGGAGGCAUAUCCAGUGGAAACAGCAGUGGUGUCUGUGUGGUCAGGGUCUCAACAGGAUGCAAAUGGCAUCUCAAACUGGGUAUCUGAGGAGAGUCUGAAGAAGGACCAUUUACAAAGGUGUGGGCAGUGUUAAGGGAAACCUACAAGGGGCGAUAAAGCAUCACAGGGCUAGCAACAGCCCUUACCUCUCCCAGAUCUGAGGGGACAAGAGAGGGAGUGGUUAGAAUAUGGGUCUCCUGGGAGGAGCUGCAGCCUUUCGUGGCAGAAUUGGCCAACUCACUGGAGGGAGGGAGGAGGGAAUAAAUACUCUGACCUCGCACUCCUCCAGCCUCUGCCUCCAGUUCCUUCCACCGGCUGGACCUGACCAGAAGCCAGGGCAAAGUAGCCUGGAUGAUGUAAUUCAUAAAGGUCAGCAUUGCAGGACACGGAGCGUGGCUAAGGAGGACAUCUGGAGGGGCAAGGAGAAUAUAUCCAAUUCAGUGUGAUCCAGUAGGAGAAGCAGUGUCCAGCAGACCUGGGCAAGAGCUGACUAUGCUUGUUUAUAAGCACACAUGAGCUACCCUGGGCACUCUCAGAAAUUCUAAUGGGGGCACAGGCACUUUGCAGGGGCAGAUGUAGGGAAGAACUUGAGAAAUAAGGUCAUGAAUGUGACCUCAUUUGUCCCUGGGAGGCCUGGGGAAACUCACAGACUCCAUUACUGAAGCCCAGCUGCUCUGAGGUUGGCGGUGGAGGGAGAAUGCCCUGGUUGCAAGGACAGGCGAGGUCCGGGAAGAUUCACGUUGCCCUUAGAGACCUCCUUACCUCCAGCACUCUUGCUACCAUGGCAACCUCAGGAGAGUGUGGUUUCCUCCUUGCCUUUCAUAUUUGCAACAGUGCAAUGCAAUUCUGAUACUAACUACCCAGAGUUAGCACAGACUCCACAGGUAAGGGCACAGUCUCCAACAAGACUGCCCUUGCUUCACACGCCCGGCACAAGUUCAGAGGUCUCCAGGCUACCCACACUUCUGACCAACUGGCUACAAACUCGGGUGUUCCCACAACCCCUCCCCACCAGGUUGAUAAUUCACUAGAAUGAUUCACAGAACUCUGGAAAGUGCUAUACUUACAAUUUCAGUUUUAUUAUAAAGGAUACAAACCAGGACCAAUCAGGACCAAUCAGGAAAAGUCUGGAAGGGUCCCAAACUUGGAACUUCUGUGUCCUCUCCACAUGGAACCCAGGGCGCACUCGACCCUCUCAGCGCAUCAAUGUGUUCACCUGCCAGGAAGUUCACCCAAGCCUCAGUGUCCAGAGUUUUUCUUGGGGUUUCAUUACAUAAGCAUGGUUAACUGAAUCCCUGGCCAUGUGAUUGAACUCAGUCUUUCUCAGUUGAACCCACCCCUCUGGACUGAUAUCACAUGGCUCAAAGCCCCAACUCUCUAAGCACAUGGUUGAUCUUUCUGACAUUGCCAGCCCCCAUCCUGAAUCUAUCUAGGACCCACCAGGAGUCACCUCAGUAGCAUAAACUCAAGUGUGUUCCUGGGGGCCCACUGUGAAUAACAAAUCCCAAGAGUUUAGAAGCUUCAUCCCAGGAAUCCAGGACAAAGACCAGAUAAAUUAUUAUACAACAAUAUCCCAUAGCAUGGCUGUCACAAGGCUGAAACAUUUAAGCUGGAUCUGACUAAAGGCUAACACUGUGAUGGCUAGAGUUUCCCUUGGAUCCCAACCUGCUGUGAUCUUAGUGACAGCCUAGUGUGCUGUGUGGAGGAUUCUGAAGCCACUUCCAGGAUUAAUUGGAAGGAGGGACAUGAUCAACUAGUCAUGACAGCCCUGGAAUAGAAGGGCAUUGGAAGGGGAGAGUGAGAGUGUGCAUGUGGGGUACUUGCUAACGCUGGGCUAAGGGAUUAAAAAAAAAAAAAGGAAAAAUCAUUUGCUGUUUGCUAACGAAGACUUGCUCAUUAGAACAUGUAAGACCCAUCCCACUUCAGCUCCUGUCCUAAUGCCAUGUAGUGGGUGCCAUGUUUAACCCUUACCACACAAGAGGUCAUGUCUUUUUAUUUCUUCUCAAAAUCUAGACUCAUGAAAGGGAGACUCAGAGAGAGAUGAGCGUGCCUUGGCUGCCCCCUGAAUUCUGGUUUUGAAACUAAGGAACCAUGUCUACCCCAUGACUGUCCUAGUGAAUACAGGCAUUUUUAGGGGAUAUCAUGUCAACUCACAUGUUGGGUUGAUAGUCAACUGAUAUGAACCAUUGGCUAUACCAAUUCUUAAAACAUGGAAACACUUCAUGCUGGUUGGUAAGUGAUGGCUGCUCCCCACUCCUGGAGAGGCCUUCUGCUAUUCUGGCUUUCCUGCCCCUCUCCUGGGACCAGGAGGGCUACAGACAGUGAUUUUCAGAGCUCAGUGCAAAACGAAAAUGCAGGACCGUUUGUUCAAAGUUUAUUAAGAAUUUCAAGAUGGCCACAGCAGAGCAUUCAGCCAAGCACAUCCCUUGACCCCACCAAUGCAGGAGGAGCACAGAGGGUGACCAAGAAAUAAAGCUAUUUUAAGACACUAACGUUGGAGGGUUGACUGUCACUGCAUCAUAACUUGGUGCAUUCUGACUAAUACGCACCAAUGCCCUACAAGUUCUUACGUAUUUUGACUGUCACCCUGCCCACGUGAUGGUCUCCUUGACACCCAAACAAGACAACCAGAGUUGUUUUCUUGGAGCCUGGCUUGACUAUUAUCAGAAACUCUCAGAAUUACACAAGGCACAACCAUAUUCCCAAACCCUAUUUUUAACAUACGAACUUUGCCAGUAUAAUGAAACCAACAUUCAGAUAAAAUAGUAAAAGUGUGUUUUUAUAAACUUGUUUUAAUACGUUACCACAAAAUAGAAGGACUUAUGUUUUCAUUGGAUACUUUUCUUAAGGGAGUGCCAAUUUCCUCUCACUGCUCCUGGAUCUGACUGAGGCAGCUCAAGAAGGAGGAAGUCGGGGAGAUCUGAUCGGUGGUUACCAGG